UAUGAGGUUGGGGAGCGGCUGAGUCGGCCUUUUCCGCCCGCUCCCCCCUCCCCCCGAGCGCCGCUCCGGCAGCACCCCGCUCGCUCCGAGCUCCUGUUAAGUUGCGCCGCCGUCGUCUCCCUCCGGCCGUCACCAUGAUCAUCUACCGGGACCUUAUCAGCCAUGAUGAGAUGUUCUCCGACAUCUACAAGAUCCGGGAGAUCGCGGACGGGCUGUGCCUGGAGGUGGAGGGGAAGAUGGUCAGUAGGACAGAGGGUAACAUUGAUGACUCGCUCAUUGGUGGAAAUGCCUCCGCUGAAGGCCCCGAGGGCGAAGGUACCGAAAGCACAGUAAUCACUGGUGUUGAUAUUGUCAUGAACCAUCACUUGCAGGAAACCAGCUUCACAAAAGAAGCCUACAAGAAGUACAUCAAAGAUUACAUGAAAUCAAUCAAAGGCAAACUUGAAGAACAGAGACCAGAAAGAGUAAAACCUUUUAUGACAGGGGCUGCAGAACAAAUCAAGCACAUCCUUGCUAAUUUCAAAAACUACCAGUUCUUUAUUGGUGAAAACAUGAAUCCAGAUGGCAUGGUUGCUCUGCUGGACUACCGUGAGGAUGGUGUGACCCCGUAUAUGAUUUUCUUUAAGGAUGGUUUAGAAAUGGAGAAAUGUUAACAAAUUUGGCUAUUACUUUGGAUCUACACCUGUCAUAACUGGCUGCUGCUUUUCAUCCACACAACACCAGGACUUAGACAGAUGGGACUGAUGUCAUCUUGAGCUCUUCAUUUAUUUUGACCUUGAUUUAUUUGGAGCGGAGGCAUUGUUUUUAAGGAAAAAACAUGUCAUUGUUCCUGGAGAAGCUAGAGCCUGGUUGUAGACCACUACUAGAAAGCAUAAGACUGCCUUCAGAUCACUUCUACAGUGAAAACUACUUCCGGGACUGGAAUAUAAAAACCAAGAACCACAAGUCUUAAUUCUGAGUUGAAGUAAAGGGAAAGACCAUGCUCAUAGCAGUGCCAACAUUUGAAGUGGAUUCCUCAGACAUUUCAUCACCUCCAAACGGAAGUAGUUAACCCUGGAAGAGAUUACCAAAAGAAUAAAAAGAGACUAAUACAGUUGGAAGCAAA